rfam:Pestalotiopsis fici W106-1 unplaced genomic scaffold PFICI_Scf_1, whole genome shotgun sequence.
GGCGGGGUGGCCUAAUGGUAAGGCGCUACUUUCCGGUGGUAGAGAUUCAGGGUUCGAGUCCCUGCCUCGUCG